UUUGUCUUUUAAUUUAGGACUGGAAUGAAAGGUUAGACUAUGAAAUUUUGUCUUAUAAUAAUAUUUUAAAUUUUAUUUUUUAGUAAAAAAGCUAAAAUGAGGUUUAAAGACGAGAAGACCCUAUCAAGCUUUACAAUAUAAAAAUUAUUUUCAAAUUAAUUUUUAAAUUGUUUUGCUGGGGCAGCAGAUAAAAAUUUUUUAUCUAAUUAUUGUGAAAUAUAAUUCUUGAAAAAUCAAAAACAUUUAACUAAAAACAAGUUACUGUAGGGAUAACAGCAUAAUUUUUUUUAAGAGUUCUCAUCAUCAAAAAAGUUUGUGACCUCGAUGUUGGAUUAAGAUACCUUAUUCGUGCAAUAAUGAAAGAAGGAAGUCUGUUCGACUUUUAAUCUCUUCCA
rnacentral:rRNA from 1 species